rnacentral:lncRNA from 1 species
GGCAGGGCGCGCGGGGCCCUCGGGCGCCGUGCCUCCCGCGCGCCUCCAGCGGGCUCUGCCUGGGGGCCCCGUGCAUCUUUGUUCCUCGCGGCCGUUGUCGCCGCUUCGCCCCGCUAGUGCCCCCGGCCCCGGGCGCUUUGUCUUUCACCGCUACCCGCUGCGACUCUCUACCCCCGGCCCUUUGUUUCGCCGCCUUGGGCGCUUUGUCCGACCCGUGGCGUCCCGCAUCCCCUCUCCAUCUCCUCCCCUCCGCUGUCCUUCCUCCCGUGCCCCUUUGUUGUGCCACACUCUUGUCGUUAGCCCAGUGACCUGCCACAGCCCGGGCACCAGAUUUCUGCCUUAAUUGUUCUUCCAUUGUCUUUCUCCUGUGGGUCCCCUCUCACCUUUCUGUAUGGUCCUGGAUCACCCCCCGAGGCUUUGUCUCCCCCAUCCACGGGCUUAUUCUCUCGGCACCCCCUUCCUCUCCCGUCAUCGGUUGAUUUAUCCACAACCCACGGUGUACGUCUGCUGAACUGUCUCAGCCCCGGGGACUCCAUCUGCUGCUUCUAAGUGCACACAAGACUCUACGCUUCUUGGUUAUGCCACCUGCAAUAAAUUGCAGCUGGCUGUUUCCACAGCCUCUGGAAGGGAAGAUGGAAGGACAGAGGAGAGUGAAAAGAAAGAAGGCUGUCAUACAGAGAAGAGAGGCUACAACUUGAAAUUUUAUACUGAAAGAUGAUCUGGUUUAUGAACAUGAUGAUGAUGUGUGUAGUGAAUUUUUUCUAGUGUAUAUGCCAAGGCAAUAUUAUUCUCUUGACUAUGGGAUUCAUUAAGUCUGUUGUAUCUGUCAUCCAUGCUUAUCCACAUGUCAAGGAAGUGAAUUAAUUUCAGCAUUCCCAAGAUAGAAGUGAUAGUAUAUGGUAAUUUACUUACAGCUUAUAAUAAUGAGUGUCAUUAUUUGAUUAAAUGGAUAUUACUAAUUAAUGGGAGUUGCCAUGUCACUAUUGUAAUGUUAAAAAAAAAAAGACCUUUCAGAGGUUAUUUCAUAAUUAUUGGUAAGUAAGCCAUUCUUUGUCCUGGCCUUCCUCCCAUGUAUUCAAUGUGAUAUGUACACUUUGCACACAGGAUUUACUGACA